rnacentral:rRNA from 1 species
UACGUAGGGGGCAAGCGUUGUCCGGAUUUAUUGGGCGUAAAGAGCGUGUAGGCGGCCAGACAGGUCCGUUGUGAAAACUGGAGGCUUAACCUUCAGACGUCGAUGGAAACCGUCUGGCUAGAGUCCGGAAGAGGAGAGUGGGAUUCCUGGUGUAGCGGUGAAAUGCGCAGAUAUCAGGAAGAACACCCGUGGCUAAGGCGGCUCUCUAGUACGGUACUGACGCUGAGACGCGAAAGCGUGGGGAGCGAACAGG